AAUGUAGUUGCUGGGUCAUAUGGUAAGAGUAUGUUUAGUUUCUUGAGAAACUAUCAAACUGUCUUCCAAAGUGGCUUCACCAUUUUGCUUUCCCACCAGCAAU
rnacentral:pre_miRNA from 2 species